GAUGAAGAACGCAGCGAAAUGCGACAAGUAAUGUGAAUUGCAGAAUUCAGUGAAUCAUCGAAUCUUUGAACGCACAUUGCGCCCGCCAGUAUUCUGGCGGGCAUGCCUGUUCGAGCGUCAUUUCAACCCUCAAGCCCUCGGGUUUGGUGUUGGGGAUCGGCGAGCCUUUCUGGCAAGCCGGCCCCGAAAUCUAGUGGCGGUCUCGCUGCAGCCUCCAUUGCGUAGUAGUAAAACCCUCGCAACUGGAACGCGGCGCGGCCAAGCCGUUAAACCCCCAACUUCUGAAUGUUGACCUCGGAUCAGGUAGGAAUACCCGCUGAACUUAAGCAUAUCAAUAAGCGGAGGA
rnacentral:misc_RNA from 1 species